rnacentral:rRNA from 1 species
UACGGGGGGGGCAAGCGUUGUUCGGAAUUACUGGGCGUAAAGGGCUCGUAGGUGGCCAACUAAGUCAGACGUGAAAUCCCUCGGCUUAACCGGGGAACUGCGUCUGAUACUGGAUGGCUUGAGUUCGGGAGAGGGAUGCGGAAUUCCAGGUGUAGCGGUGAAAUUCGUAGAUAUUGGGAAGAACACCGGUGGCGAAGGCGGCUCUCUGGACCGAUACUGACGCUGAGGCGCGAAAGCGUGGGGAGCAAACAGG